rnacentral:rRNA from 1 species
UACAGAGGUCUCAAGCGUUGUUCGGAUUCAUUGGGCGUAAAGGGUGCGUAGGUGGCGCCAUAAGUCAGGUGUGAAAUCUCGGGGCUUAACUCCGAAACUGCAUUUGAUACUGUGGUGCUUGAGGACUGGAGAGGAGACUGGAAUUCACGGUGUAGCAGUGAAAUGCGUAGAUAUCGUGAGGAAGACCAGUGGCGAAGGCGGGUCUCUGGACAGUUCCUGACACUGAGGCACGAAGGCCAGGGGGGCAAACGGG